UAGGAAAUACAAGAUACAAGUGAUGAGGCCAAAGCCUGAUGCAAAGGUCCCAUGUGCUGUGCCACUGACUUAACCCAGUAGGACAGUUUUAUUGAGAAAUACAGUUCCCUAGGGUAUGAUUGCAACCAUAGUCUCAGGCCUCUUGGCAAGAGAAUUGAUGUGAGCCCAUGGAGACUAGUGAAGACAACUGAAAACUGAAAAGAAAUAAAAUGAAGAUAAAUAACUGCACUAAUGAAUUUUUUUUUAAUUUUCAAACAGAUCAGUCAUUCUGGAUUUCUGGUCCUUCUGAAUUUUAAAGUAAGUCUCAGUCACCUUGUUUUGUACAGAUUGUGAUAUAGCUUGUAACCAGUGAUGUGAUGAUUCUGCCAAAUGAUACGAAGUGAUAUCACCUUUAAAACCGUUCCAUUUCAUUUCUGAGGUUACUAUAGUAACAUGUAAAGUUUAACUACUCUAAGCCAGAGAAGUAAGUCUUUGUUUUCUUAGGGCUGCGGUGACAAGUGGACAUGCAGUGACUACCUUUUGUACCUUCCUGUUUCUGAGGUGCCUGGAUGGAGGUUCAAAUAGAAGAUAGUGUCAGAUAUACAUUGUGUUGUCAAAAUUUUACCAUUAAAGUGCAUUACAACAUG
ensembl:processed_transcript uncharacterized LOC110297540